rnacentral:rRNA from 1 species
UACGUAGGUGGCAAGCGUUAUCCGGAUUUAUUGGGCGUAAAGGGAACGCCGGCGGUCUUUUAAGUCUGAUGUGAAAGCCUUCGGCUUAACCGGAGUAGUGCAUUGGAAACUGGGAGACUUGAGUGCAGAAGAGGAGAGUGGAACUCCAUGUGUAGCGGUGAAAUGCGUAGAUAUAUGGAAGAACACCAGUGGCGAAAGCGGCUCUCUGGUCUGUAACUGACGCUGAGGUUCGAAAGCGUGGGUAGCAAACAGG